UACCAGCACCCCGAGUGGUCGGGACGUUUAUUGGGCCUAAAGCAUCCGUAGCCGGUUCUGCAAGUCUUCCGUUAAAUCCACCUGCUUAACAGAUGGGCCGCGGAAGAUACUAUAGAGCUAGGAGGCGGGAGAGGCAAGCGGUACUCGAUGGGUAGGGGUAAAAUCCGUUGAUCCAUUGAAGACCACCAGUGGCGAAGGCGGCUUGCCAGAACGCGCUCGACGGUGAGGGAUGAAAGCUGGGGGGGAGCAACCGG
rnacentral:rRNA from 1 species